GCCUUGGUAGCUCAGAUGGUAGAGCAACGGACUGAAAAUCCGUCUGUCGGUGGUUCGAUUCCGCCCCAAGGCACCA
rnacentral:tRNA from 4 species